GCCUGGGUGGCUCAGUUGGUUAAGCAUCUGACUUUGGCUCAGGUCAUGGUCUUGCACUCUGUGGGUUCAAGCCCUGCAUUGGGCU
rnacentral:tRNA from 1 species